rnacentral:rRNA from 1 species
UACGAAGGGGGCUAGCGUUGUUCGGAUUACUGGGCGUAACGCGCACGUAGGCGGAUCGGUUAAGUCGGGGGUGAAAUCCUGGAGCUCAACUCCAGAACUGCCUUCGAUACUGGCGAUCGUUGAGUCCGGAAGAGGUGAGUGGAACUCCUAGUGUAGAGGUGGAAUUCGUAGAUAUUAGGAAGAACACCAGUGGCGAAGGCGGCUCCACUGGUCCGGUACUGACGCUGAGGUGACGGAAAGCCAGGGGAGGCAAAACAGG